rnacentral:rRNA from 1 species
UCCUACGGGAGGCAGCAGUGGGGAAUAUUGGGCAAUGGGCGAAAGCCUGACCCAGCAACGCCGCGUGAAGGAAGAAGGCUUUCGGGUUGUAAACUUCUUUUGACAGGGAAGAGCAGAAGACGGUACCUGUCGAAUAAGCCACGGCUAACUACGUGCCAGCAGCCGCGGGAAUACGUAGGGGGCAAGCGUUAUCCGGAUUUACUGGGUGUAAAGGGAGCGUAGACGGUUAUGCAAGUCUGAAGUGAAAGCCCAAGGCUCAACCAUGGGACUGCUUUGGAAACUGUAAAACUGGAGUGCAGGAGAGG